UACGUAGGGACCGAGCGUUGUCCGGAAUCAUUGGGCGUAAAGAGCGUGUAGGCGGCUAUUUAAGUCCUGCGUGAAAUCCUGCGGCUCAACCGCAGACGGUCGUGGGAAACUGGAUGGCUAGAGUGCGGGAGAGGAGAGUGGAAUUCCCGGUGUAGCGGUGAAAUGCGCAGAUAUCGGGAAGAACACCCGUGGCGAAGGCGGCUCUCUGGAACGCAACUGACGCUGAGAGACGAAAGCUAGGGGAGCGAAUGGG
rnacentral:rRNA from 1 species